UAUAGUAGCCGUUACCACCACUAGUGACUACCAAUUCUAUCAUCAUCGUUAUCAAGAAGCCUCAUUACCAUCCUUUAUAUACUCUUCAUCUAAAAACACUGUCAUCACUCUCAGAAACUAAUGACCAUAAUGGUGGCUUCUUCAAUGCCUACAUCGGAGAAAAAAAACUACACUGUAGAGUUCAUAGUCCUUUCCAAUCACCUCAAGCGUUGUGUCAGGAGCCUCCAAGGGCCUCGGAGGCACAUCCGUCAACUCUCACGGUCAAUAUUGUAGCCUGAAUCAUGGUCUGCCUACAGAAUAAGAGUAAUUUUAUAGUUAAAAGGGGAAAUGACAAAAAUGAAGAAGCCAUUGAUGUAACACUGCAAUGAGUUCUCAAUGAGUACUCAAGAAUAUGGUGGUGGUGCUUUCUCAAUUUCAGGAGACACUGUAGUUUCUCCAUUUACAAGGAUGAUAGAUUCAAAAGGUAACCUUAUAAUAUUAAUAAUCACAUCAGAUGGAUUAACAUACAUUCUUUUCAAAAUUACCUUAUUUUGUUGAAGUAAAUUAUUUCUUUAAUUCCUCAAAGAUUUCUUUUUCUAAGUGGAGCGAUAGUCAUUAUCAGAAUCUAUUGGAUGCUUUUUGAUUGCAACCCAAAAUCCUUUUUGAUGUUUGUUGUAUUUAGCAUGGUUGUGUCUCUUUUACUUAUAACUCCGUUGAUAAAAGCUUCUGACGAGGGUAUCGAUGGUGUUGACUGAAGAAGAAUCGGCUGAAGCAGCGCCUGCUGAAGAGCAACACCAAAGGAGGAAAAAGCAAAGUCGUUUAGAAUUUCCAGUCGAGAUCUUGCAUUUUUUGAAAUGGCUAUUUCUUUCUCUUAAAUAAAUAUGGGCAUAAUUGUCAAUGUAUAUUUUUUCAGUGGAAGAAUAAAAGAAUACAGUGGCAAUAUCAA